CCGUGGGGAAAUAUCUGGCACUGGGGACAUAUGUGGCACUGGGAGCACAGCCCUAGCAACAAGGACUACCUCCUAGCAACGAGCAUGACACCCAGUGCAUGAAACACCUGACAACGAGCAUGACACCCAGUGCAUGAAACACCUGGCAACGAGCAUGACACCCAGUGCAUGAAACCCCUGACAACGAGAAGUUUUGCAGCAGUCUUGAACUUCUAUAUCAAGGGGAUGCAAUCCUGCAGGUGUAACACUACAAUCUUACAGAAAGCUCCACACAUCAGGAAAAUUAUGAAAAACAACAAACUAUCUUUUCACCAGUGCGCAUCCAUAAAUUUUAAACAGAGACCCAAAAAAAUCCCCCUGGACUUCAUUGCAAAACAAUUGCUGGUGUCAGGAUCAUGACCAUAUCAAUUCCUAUGUGAGAAUGUCCCAAGGGCAGUUUGUUUCCAAAUAUUAAAGGGUUUUGGAAAUAAAAUACCUUAUGCCAGUGGUUCCCAAACUUUUGUGAGUCACGGCACCCUGGAGUGUCAGAUUUUUUUUCACGGCACCCCUAGGCCACAAGUUUCUUAUUGAGAAAUUUAGAAAAAAAUAUUAGAUUAAGUAAAUUAUUUUUAUAUGUUAUCCUUAGGGUCAGUUGUGUGGUGAGGGACAAGAUUUGCUUCUGUAUGUCCACAUAUUUUAUAAUUAGCAGCCACCAGCACUGGUUUUGCCUAUUACAUUGACAAUAAAUAGUUUGAAUUGGUCCUUGACAACCAACCUGAGGCACCCCUGCAAGUGUCCCGCGGCACCCCAGGGUGCCACGGCACACAGUUUGGGAACCACUGCCUUAUGCAUUUCUUAUAAGCGCAUAGUCUAGAAAUGUUAAACAUGCAAUUUUAUAACUGUAUUUACAGCAAUACGCAUAACAUGUUAAGACACAUUAUUACCGAUAUAUUUACAGAACAUUGCACCUAGCGACGAUUCAUCCAUUUAAAAAAAUGGCGAAUGAGCCGUGAGUUUAUCAUGUGGGAUGGGUGUUCGGCCACAGGGAGGUAUUUAUCAAAUCUUGGGGGGAGAUAAAACUGUGAGAGAUAAAGUACUGAACAAUUAGCUUCUCAUUUACAUGUUACGGGCUGUAUUUGAAAAAUGACAGUUAGUAGCUGAUUGGUUGGUAAUUUAUCUCACAAUUUUAUCUACUGACAAACUUUGAUAAAUACCUCCAUUGUGAUAAAGCAUAUGUUUUGGGAGUUAUUUUAAGCCUUUAUUUUAAUUCCGAAGAGACUUUAGAGUGUUACAGUAGACAUCACUAGCUGGCAGCACUUACAGAUUCUGCAUCAUUUGGCUCUAAGAGUAAAUAAAAAGCCAGCUUCUGUUAGAUAUACAGUGACUGAGAUAUUUAUUUCACCUCAACACACCUAAUAAAACCACAAGGAUUGUAGAAUGACACUGAGUUAUAUAAAUAAUUAAAUAAAACGGGAUGAUGGAAGCAUAUUUAUCAUAACUUAAUUCACCAUGUUCUUUGUUUCCCCCACACACAUAUGUGGGUGCUCUCAAAAUGGCCACCCCCACAAUUCAGUACUGAUUCAGAUCACCAUAGCAACGUUGGUGCUUCUUGCUGGGGAGUUUACAUUAUGAUUAUUACA